rnacentral:lncRNA from 1 species
AUAUAUAUAUAGAGAGAGAGAGAGAGAGAGAGAGAGAGAGAGAGAGAGAGAGAGAGAGAGCAGGACUGCUGUGCUCUCAGGAGCACGGAGGUUUCCGUGCUCCUGAGCCGUUUUCGAUGAUGAAAUUUUCGAAUCGACGAUCUGCUCCGUUAGACUUGAUCUAGUAUAUUUGAAGUUUUUAGAAAAUAAUUUUUGCGAUUUUUCGAUAUCAUUUACUUAGCAAUCGAAAGAAUUCAAAAUUAAUAAUUUUUAACAGCUGAAAAUAAAAAUCCUAUAAAAAGUGGUGAUAUAGCACUAAAAUUUUCGAUCAGAAAUAUUGAUCUUGUUGUAGAUAAUAUAAAGAAUUUUGUAUCAAAAUUUCAUCUAAUUUGAUUACUUCUGCACCGUUAAACUUGAAAACGGCAGAUAUCAACCAUUAAAAAUUAUGAAUUUUGAAUCCUUUCGAUCACUAGGUAAAUGAUAUCAAAAAAUCAUAAAAAAUAUUUUCUAGAAACUUCAAAUGCGCUAGAUCAAGUCUAACGGAGCCGAUCGUCGAUUCAAAAAUUCCAUCAUCGAAAAUAGCUCAGGAGCACGAAAGCCUCCGUGCUUCUGAGAGCAUAGCAGCCCUACUCUCUCUCUCUCUCUCCCUCUCUCUCUCUAUAUAUAUAUAUA